rnacentral:rRNA from 1 species
GGGAAUUUUGGACAAUGGGCGAAAGCUUGAUCCAGCAAUGCCGCGUGUGUGAAGAAGGCCUUCGGGUUGUAAAGCACUUUUGUCCGGAAAGAAAUCCUUUGGGUUAAUACCUCGGGGGGAUGACGGUACCGGAAGAAUAAGCACCGGCUAACUACGUGCCAGCAGCCGCGGUAAUACGUAGGGUGCAAGCGUUAAUCGGAAUUACUGGGCGUAAAGCGUGCGCAGGCGGUUUUGUAAGACGGAUGUGAAAUCCCCGGGCUUAACCUGGGAACUGCAUUCGUGACUGCAAGGCUAGAGUAUGGCAGAGGGGGGUAGAAUUCCACGUGUAGCAGUGAAAUGCGUAGAGAUGUGGAGGAAUACCGAUGGCGAAGGCAGCCCCCUGGGCCAAUACUGACGCUCAUGCACGAAAGCGUGGGGAGCAAACAGGAUUAGAUACCCUGGUAGUCCACGCCCUAAACGAUGUCAACUAGUUGUUGGGGAUUCAUUUCCUUAGUAACGAAGCUAACGCGUGAAGUUGACCGCCUGGGGAGUACGGUCGCAAGAUUAAAACUCAAAGGAAUUGACGGGGACCCGCACAAGCGGUGGAUGAUGUGGAUUAAUUCGAUGCAACGCGAAAAACCUUACCUACCCUUGACAUGUACGGAAUCCUGCUGAGAGGUGGGAGUGCUCGAAAGAGAACCGUAACACAGGUGCUGCAUGGUUGUCGUCAGCUCGUGUCGUGAGAUGUUGGGUUAAGUCCCGCAACGAGCGCAACCCUUGUCCUUAGUUGCUACGCAAGAGCACUCUAGGGAGACUGCCGGUGACAAACCGGAGGAAGGUGGGGAUGACGUCAAGUCCUCAUGGCCCUUAUGGGUAGGGCUUCACACGUCAUACAAUGGUCGGUAUAGAGGGCUGCCGAACCGCGAGGUGGAGCUAACCCCAGAAAACCGAUCGUAGUCCGGAUCGCAGUCUGCAACUCGACUGCGUGAAGCUGGAAUCGCUAGUAAUCGCGGAUCAGCAUGUCGCGGUGAAUACGUUCCCGGGCCUUGUACACACCGCC